AUUGAACGCUGGCGGCAUGCCUAACACAUGCAAGUCGAGGGGUAACGAGAGGAAAGCUUGCUUUCCUUGUCGACGACCGGCGCACGGGUGAGCAAUGCGUAUCCAACCUGCCCCCAACUAAGGAAUAACCUUGCGAAAGUAAGACUAAUACCUUAUAAUUUCCUCAGAUGUCAUCUGACGAGGAAUAAAGAUUUAUCGGUUGUGGAUGGGGAUGCGUCUGAUUAGCUUGUUGGCGGGGUAACGGCCCACCAAGGCAACGAUCAGUAGGGGUUCUGAGAGGAAGGUCCCCCACAUUGGAACUGAGACACGGUCCAAACUCCUACGGGAGGCAGCAGUGAGGAAUAUUGGUCAAUGGGCGGAAGCCUGAACCAGCCAAGUAGCGUGCAGGAUGACGGCCCUAUGGGCUGUAAACUGCUUUUAUACAGGAAUAAAGUUAGCCACGUGUGGUUAUUUGUAGGUACUGUAUGAAUAAGGACCGGCUAAUUCCGUGCCAGCCGCCGCAGUAA
rnacentral:rRNA from 1 species